GUAAUGAAUGUCUACUGAGACUUCGCGACGAUUGUCACAAGCUCGAAGGGAGUGCCGGAUCGUGACAGUUAUGGACCACAACUAUACCACCAGUAGACAAACUCUCCAAACUCUCACUACAUAGACGAACUUUUUUACUGGAUCGAGUAUCCAAAAGUGAAUGAGUGUCCAUCUUGAGUAACGAACCUUCAGUCGCCUCCGCCUCCAUUCUUUUCUCUUCUUAGGGCUUGUUUGUUUUUAGUGUUUAAGAUACAGGAGAAAUAAAUUUUUAAAAAUUUCAUGCGAUAUAUAAUUGCACUAGCA
rnacentral:lncRNA from 1 species